UAUGCUUACCCAGUACAAACAUUUUUUCCAUCUGAGUGGUGUUGUUUUUAUUUUUGUUAUUUCAUUGGAAUGUCUUCAAGCCCAGAGUGCUGGAUGCAUCAUCAAAGAGUAUGAUCAUUUUUAGUGACUUGUGCAGUGCCAAAUUGAUCUCCUAAAACCCUGUACUAAUUUAAAAUGCCAAAUGCAGUGUUUGAAUAUGUUUCCACACAAUCCGCCAAUAUGGAACUUUAUAGUUUUUGUAAUUUUUGUUGGCAUAAUGAGUAUGGAUGGUGCACUUUAUUUUUUUAAUUUACAUAUAAUUAUUUUUUAGCUAAAUGCUUUUCUCUGGGUAUAUACACUGUUUUUUUCCUGUGCAAAUUCCUUGAUUUUGUUUAAAGGUUUUUAUAAUGAUUCAUUCAUUAUUUGUGUUUAAGGCAAUGCAUUUUUAUUCUGCCGCAUCUGUAUUUUGGGGCAUAGAUGACUAAAACAUCAUACAUUGCUUUUUUCUAUCCCCCAUUUAUUAUGUUGACAAUAAAGGUUUAUCAGCGGAAAAUUAGAAUAAGGUUGUUUUUAUGUUCAAAUUGAAGGGCAUGAUUCAGGCCAAGAAAGCACUUUUGCCUCAUUAAUUGGGUGUUAACCGGUGAAUGUGGGUUUUUAGUCUGAAUUAACAGAAUGAUUACUUCAUACACCCCUUUAAGUAGGAGUUUUACCGUUUGGGAGAUAACUUGCUGGGAUAAAUUUGUAUUACUCCAGACUUUAGAAGUACAUAUUGUAAAAAGGCAAAGGCAUAAAAUAAUAGAAAGGUAGAUUAAAAAGGGGAAAUCAAUGAUAUCCACAAAACACUAAAGAGUGUUUAAGCAAACAAAACAGUCAUGGACUUUUGGUAUCUUCUAUUUUCCCCUCAGUAAUCAGCAAUCUGAGAAGAGAAGUUGUCUAAUUAAGGGCUGUAACACUUCAGCAUAACCACUGUAACCUAGGGAAAAAUAAGGUGGGAUACUAUAAAUAGGCAUAAUAAACUAGAGAUGAUUUAAAAUAUACAGGAGGAUGUGUCUAGGUUAUAUGCAGAUACUAUAUCAUUUUAUAUCAGGGACUUGUGUGCCCUCUGAUUUUGGUAUCUGCAGGGGAGAGGGAGGAGUGUCCUGGAACCAAACCCCCAUGGAUACCUAAGGAUGACUGUAAUUUAGAAAGUUUAUAUAUCAGUCAUAUUAUUUAGGCAUAUUAAUUUUUUUAAACUUUUUUAAAAGCUUUGAACCAACCAGUUUCUAAACAUUAUCGAAACAUCUGUAAUGUUGGUUUCUCUUCCGGGUUGAAUUGUGUCUCAAAAAGAUGUAAUAAAAUUCUGAUCCCCGGUACCUGUGACUGUGACUUUAUUUAGAAAUAGGGUCUUGGCAGAUAUCAUCGAGUUAAGAUGAGGUCAUCCGGGAAUAAAGUUGGCCCUGCAUCCAGUGACUCAUGUCCUUAUAAGGAGAGAGAGGUUUGACGAUACAGAGGAGGCACAGAAAGGAAGGCCAUGAGAAAGCAAAGAGGAAAGACUGGAGUUGUGCUGCCACAAAC
rnacentral:lncRNA from 1 species